rnacentral:misc_RNA from 1 species
UCUCCGUUGGUGAACCAGCGGAGGGAUCAUUACAGAGUUGCGAAACUCCCUAAACCAUUUGUGAACCUACCCCCAAAACAGUUGCUUCGGCGGCGCCCUAGCCGGCCCCCGUGCCGGCAGCCCGUCAGAAGACCAAAACUCUUCGUCAUCAGUGGCCUCUCUGAGUAACUUAUACAAUAAGUCAAAACUUUCAACAACGGAUCUCUUGGUUCUG